AGGGAUUUAGCUCUGUGGUUGGAGCGUCUGCCUUGCAAGCGAAGGGUUCCGGGUUCGAUCCCCGGUACCCCCC
rnacentral:tRNA from 1 species